AUACGGAGGAUCCGAGCGUUAUCCGGAUUUAUUGGGUUUAAAGGGUGCGCAGGCGGCCAUUUAAGUCAGCGGUUAAAUCGUGGGGCUCAACCCCAUUCUGCCGUUGAUACUGGGUGGCUUGAUUGCGGUCGAGGUUGGCGGAAUUCGUUGUGUAGCGGUGAAAUGCAUAGAUAUGACGAAGAACACCGAUUGCGUAGGCAGCUGACCAGACCGCAAAUGACGCUCAUGCACGAAAGUGCGGGGAUCGAACAGGAUUAGAUACCCUGGUAGUCCGCACAGUAAACGAUGAAUACUUGUUUUCGGCGAUAUAAUGUCGGAGGCAAAGCGAAAGCGAUAAGUAUUCCACCUGGGGAGUGCGCCGGCAACGGUGAAACUUAAAGGAAUUGACGGGG
rnacentral:rRNA from 1 species